rnacentral:lncRNA from 1 species
ACUCGCUUGCUUGCGCUGGGCUUCAGGGCGCCCGGGUUUUUCUGUGGACCUAAAUUUUCAUUUCUCUGGGAUAAAUGUCCAGGAGUGUGAUUGCUGGGUCAUAUGAUCUACAGUCCCUCUUGGACAGAUUUUCCUGUGUGUAUAUGAUAUGAGACGAAGUCACUCACUGUCACCCAGGCUGGAGUGCAGUGGCAAGAUCCCGGCUCGCUGCAACCUCCACCUUCUGGAUUCAAGCAAUUCUCCUGCCUCAGCCUCCUGAGUAGCUGGGAUUACAGGUGUCACAUGCCAUUCUUCUGAUUUUCAUGAAUAUCCUCUAAAAGGCAGCUAAGCACUCGCUGUCUUCUUCCUUUUGCCUCAUCAAGCACGGGGGACGCUGGAAGGAAGAGUAUGGAAGCUUUGUAAAUUUUCCUUGUUAAAAACAAGCACCAUCUUCAUACCUGCUGAAAUCUAAUUCUCAUCCAGAGGGAUGUGAGGAAUAAAGGGGGCAGUGAUACCAACAGCGGGCGUAGACAGCCCAUCCAUCCCACGCAGGUUUAUGGUCCUGUGAUCACAAGAUGGCUGCAGAAGCUCUGAGCAUCACCUCAUAUAGCUCAACAAAGGGGCAUCAACAGUGAGAACUGGGCAAAGCACAUGAGAUGUCUAAGAUCUGCCAGGAAAAGGACCAUGAAGGACUUGCCUGUGGUCAAGAAUCUACAUCUCAGUAUUUGUACAGUUGAGCCGAAAUGCCUGUUCUAACAAAGAGAGCCUGGUGUAUUCAGCUGGAACUCGUCAGCAUUUCAAGGGAAAGAAGUCACUCACUAAUUAAUGCUGGAGGUGGUGGGACUGCCAAGAUGAAUAGACAUAAUCCUCGAUCUAACCACUUCACAGUUUAUCAUCGGAGUCAAGUUUGCAGAUAAACAAUUGCCAUGCAACUUUCAAGCUCACUUCUCAGCUACCUAGGGCAAAAGCUGCUGCCAGAGUUCUAACAUUCAUAUGUUUGCAUAUUGUUAUGGGUUGCAAUUUGGAGAAGAAAAGAGGGCUGUGAUCUUCCUUUCAAAAGAAACUCCUUGGAAGCACCACACUUCUGUUUAUUUCUCAUUGACUAGAACAUAGUCAAGUCAUGGGAUUCUGGAGACGGGGUGUCAUCCUGUUGCUCAGGCUGGUCUCAAACUCCUGGCCCUAAGUGAUCCUCCUGCCUCAGCCUCUCAAAGUGCUGGGAUUACGGGUGUGAACCUAAUCGCAGAGGUUCUACAGUCAUUCUCCAGUUUCCAUCAUUCAAGAAAAUGCAGCAAUGAGAGGAGGGAGAAGAGGACACCAGCUCAAUCCCAGCGUCCGUGUUGAGUGCGAACACCUUCACAUCUUUAUGAAACCCAAUCAUAUGUUUCUGUUGCUUUAUAGUUUCUAUUUCAUUGUGUCACAUCAAUGUGUAUAGAC